AUUGAACGCUGGCGGCAGGCCUAACACAUGCAAGUCGAGCGGAUGAAGGGAGCUUGCUCCUGGAUUCAGCGGCGGACGGGUGAGUAAUGCCUAGGAAUCUGCCUGGUAGUGGGGGAUAACGUCCGGAAACGGGCGCUAAUACCGCAUACGUCCUGAGGGAGAAAGUGGGGGAUCUUCGGACCUCACGCUAUCAGAUGAGCCUAGGUCGGAUUAGCUAGUUGGUGGGGUAAAGGCCUACCAAGGCGACGAUCCGUAACUGGUCUGAGAGGAUGAUCAGUCACGCUGGAACUGAGACACGGUCCAGACUCCUACGGGAGGCAGCAGUGGGGAAUAUUGGACAAUGGGCGAAAGCCUGAUCCAGCCAUGCCGCGUGUGUGAAGAAGGUCUUCGGAUUGUAAAGCACUUUGAGUUGGGAGGAAGGGCAGUAAGUUAAUACCUUGCUGUUUUGACGUUACCAACAGAAUAAGCACCGGCUAACUUCGUG
rnacentral:rRNA from 1 species